AUUGAACGCUGGCGGCAUGCUUUACACAUGCAAGUCGAACGGUAACAGGCCGCAAGGUGCUGACGAGUGGCGAACGGGUGAGUAACGCAUCGGAACGUGCCCAGUCGUGGGGGAUAACGCAGCGAAAGCUGUGCUAAUACCGCAUACGAUCUAUGGAUGAAAGCGGGGGACCGUAAGGCCUCGCGCGAUUGGAGCGGCCGAUGUCAGGUUAGGUAGUUGGUGGGGUAAAGGCUCACCAAGCCAACGAUCUGUAGCUGGUCUGAGAGGACGACCAGCCACACGGGGACUGAGACACGGCCCAGACUCCUACGGGAGGCAGCAGUGGGGAAUUUUGGACAAUGGGCGCAAGCCUGAUCCAGCAAUGCCGCGUGCAGGAAGAAGGCCUUCGGGUUGUAAACUGCUUUUGUACGGAACGAAACGGUCUGGGUUAAUACCCUGGGCUAAUGACGGUACCGUAAGAAUAAGCACCGGCUAACUACGUGCCAGCCGCCGCCGUAAGAC
rnacentral:rRNA from 1 species